rnacentral:rRNA from 1 species
UACGUAGGGUGCGAGCGUUGUCCGGAAUUAUUGGGCGUAAAGGGCUCGUAGGCGGUUUGUCGCGUCGGGAGUGAAAACCAUGGGCUUAACUCAUGGCUUGCUUCCGAUACGGGCAGACUAGAGGUAUGCAGGGGAGAACGGAAUUCCUGGUGUAGCGGUGAAAUGCGCAGAUAUCAGGAGGAACACCGGUGGCGAAGGCGGUUCUCUGGGCAUUACCUGACGCUGAGGAGCGAAAGUGUAGGGAGCGAACAGG